UUUAUAGAGCUAUAUUAUUACGAAAAUACCCCUAAAUGGUUAACCGGUUUUUAAACCUUGGUGUUGCAAUGAAUUAUAGGAUGUUAUAAUAAUUAAUAAAUAUAUGUAUUAUAAUAAUUUUUCUAUCCAAUAUAUUUUUAACUAAAAAAUUUAAUUAAUAUAAUUUAGAUGUAUAAAAAAAUAUUAAUUUCCUAUAGUUUUAUAAAUAUUUACGAAAAUGCCACUGGCGCAUCUGAGCGCAUAUGCACGCAUAUGCUCAGAUGCUCCAGGUGGCGGCAGAGGCGCAUCCGGAACCUUGGAUCUGAAUACUAAAGGAAGAGCUACUGUCAAAUAGCGGGGAUAUGACGAUAUUUACUAUGCAAUUGUAGGAGACUAACCUUCUGAGGCAGUACAGUUAGUUACUUUACUACUAGAUGACAUAGCCAUAUAGGAAAGUGUCGAUGAAUACUCAUCUUCUUUAUUUCUCAUUUUUCAAUCUCCACUAUGUAUUAUGACAGACAUCAAGUUUUUCAGGUGAGUAGGCGUUCAUGCGAUUGAGCUGGUUGCAUGAACGCCUAGGCACCAGAGUAAAUUUUUGCCUAACAUCCCCUGUAUUUUUUUAAUAUUACAAUAAAUACCUGUAUUUUCAAAAUAUUAAUAGAAAUAAAUGAAGUCUUAAAUCAUUUUAGUAGCAAAAUAGAAGUACUUAGUUAAAAAAAAAUUAAAUAGUAGUUACUAGUUAUGAUCUUAGCAGUACUUAGUCUUAAACUCUUAAUACAAAAAGAGUGAAAAUAGUCAAAAUACAACUAGGAGAAGUUAAUUGAAUGAAUCGUCAUCAGAAUUUCUUAUAGUCAUGCAUGUGUCUGGUCACUCGACAUCAUGAUCAUCUUUGGCUCUUCUACCUCGACUAUAUGUUCUAGUAGAUACUAGAUAGUGCAUCUGUUUCAUUGACACCUAUUGCAUUCUCAACACUUGCAUUUUAAUUCUGAGGUGCUUAAUUCUCAACACAUGUAGGUCCAAGUCCCUACAUUCUAGCUUGCAUUUUAAUUGCUUUCAUUUAGCCUUUUAUUGUAGUUAAUGUACACAGGCUUGCCCAUUCGAGUCACCUCAAGACGAUUGCGUCACUUAGUAUGAAUCUACUGAUUUACAUAGGAAUUUGGAAAUUGUCAAAAUAUGAAGUUCUGAUUUUUGAGUAAAUAAUGAUUGGUACGAGAACUUACGAGGUUGAAUGUGCUCCAGUUUCUUUCACUCCCCUUCCCUGUUGAGCCAGGGAAGGUAUUUAUUGGACAUCUCCCUGGGCCUCCUGGGCCCAAUUGUCUGUUCGGUCACGUGUAGGUAGACCAAAUAUACUCCACCAUGCAACUUUAAUCACACAUUUCAUCAUUGACCAAUCAAUUAAAAAUCAAGGGUGCUACUUGAUGACAUUCUCUUCAACUUGUGUUUCUUCAUUUGACGGGGGGACAUAAUCUUCAUCACAAGACGACAUAAUCUACUUUAGAAAAUAUCUAAAAAAUCAUAUCUAGGAUUUUACCCUAUCAUUUAAGUAUUUAGGGUUUACCUAAAAAGACAAGGAUGGAGAUGAUAAGUUGAUAACAGUGGAGUGGAACACUAAUAUAGAACAGGAUUGUUCUAUAGGGGAAUGAUAAGAAGAUCUGGGAAUACUUCUUAAAUCGGGAGUGAGAUAAGAAUCAACAAGGCAUCCACCAAGGAUUCAGAUCUGAUCGGAAAUGGUGGAAGAAAAUAAAGAGAAUGGAAGAAAAGAAAAACAGGAAAGUAGAAAAAUCGGGGAGAGAGAAAUACCUUCACUAAUAUCAAAAAAACUGUCCUCCUUUGGGUCCACUUGGUCUUUUAUACUCACAUUGUGUGUAGUGGACAACCUCCACAAUGUGAGUUAAUUGGCUUCAAAGGUGAAGCACAAUGACUCGAGCCAUCUCGAGCCAAGCUUGAGCCUGUUCAUGGGUGUGCUCAGUUAAUUGAGGCCCUCUGUUAAUACUUCCAGUAUUAGGGGUAAAAGGGUCAUUUGCAGAAUUACAUAAAGAACUAAGAUGCUCUGCAUCAAAAACACUGGAGUGGAGAACAUUGGAGUGGAGAACACGUCGGAGUCGCCUGGUUGAAGCUCGCCGGAAUCGACGUUCGUCGGAGGUCGCCGCCACCACGCCAGUGGUCUGGAAGAAGGGAGAAAUAAGGGGUGGAUGGUCUGAAAAAUCAGAAAUAGGUAAAUAAAACCCUAUUUCUGAUUUUUAGAUCUAUGUUUAUAUUUAAUUUUAUAUAAUUAAUCGAUAUAUGGAUUAAACGGAUCUAACUGGAUCCGCUUAACCCGUCCAGCACCUGAAGGAGUUGGCUCGCAUGAUCGCCUAGGCGUCGCCUUGGCGAUAACAUGAAAAACCUUGACGGACAUUGCUUUUCACUAUUCAUGAAAACUUUACUUUUAUGAAAAAAAUCAUCUAAGGAGGAUGGAGAUUCUAAUACUCAAAUCUUGACAAAUUUUGGAACAUCCCUCCCUCAAUUUACUACCACAAUAUGUGGGAAACUUUAUCCAACUAUGAAAUGACCCCCUCCAGUUAAUAAAUUAGCAAAUCAAAGCUAGAACACAGAAAGUCCAAUAUCUGAUGUUGAGGUUGAUAUGGUAAAUUGAUAAUUGUGGUCCCAGAGACAGAACUUUUGAAGAGAAACACCAUCCAAGAAACCAGGAACUCACCCAAAAAUACUAUGGACCUGAUUCCCUCUCUCAAGGAAACGCAACCUAAUAAAUCAGAACCAGAUAUGAUUCACUUUCUCAUAGUUUUGAUUCCCAAAUUUACAAUCUCACCAUGGAGAAAGAUCGUCAAGAUAGUUGCUUUUAAAAAAAGAUCGUUAAGGUCAGAAAUCCUUCUCGACGUUUGCCUCCGAUGUGCUAAAAAAGAGACUUGAACUCCUCUUCGAAAGCACUGAGAACCAUACACAUAAGAGUACGAUCAAGAUCUCCUAAAAAUAAAAUCCAGAUGGGGACCAAAAUCUCUAUGAAGGUCAGCAUCACAAAACACCACCAUAUUUGCCGAUUCUCCUGAGACUGUCACAUUUUUUUUAAAUUGAAAUGUAUCUCAGAAUCUAUUUUACAACUUUCCAAUGAUCUUCACUGGGAUUAGACAAGAGUCUACUGACAAAUCUCACUCCAUGGGAAAGGUCUGGUCUAGGGAAAAUCAUUGCAUACAUUAAGCUCCCCACAGCUGAGGCAUAAGACACACCUUUCAUCUUCUCUUGUUCUUCAACUGUCUUGGCCGUUGGAUGAUUGAAAGAGAAUCAGAGAGUUUGAACCCUGAAGCAAGAAGAUGGUUUGUUUUCCUUGAUGCCUCCAGUAUUUUCUCCAAAUACUUCUUUUGAUUUAAUUUCAGACUUCCAUCUUUUCUGAUAAUCCUCAUGCCAAGGAUUUAUUUUGCAGGUCCAUGAUCCUUUGUUUUAAACUUCUUUGAUAGUUGCUCUUUCAUGCUUGAACUGCUUGUAACCCGUCAUCUACAUAAAUUUCUAGAAAUACAUAACAGGCAAUAGGUUUUCUUUGCUAGUAGCAAAAGUCUGCUCCACAUCUUUUGAAACCAAUUCUUUUCACAAAUGGGUCGAAUUUCCUAUACCAUUGUCUAAGGAUCUACUUUAAACCAUACAAGCUUCUCAAGCUUGUAUACCAAUUCUGAAUCACUUCUAGUAAAUUCAAAACAUUUAGGUUUUAAAUGGAAACCUUUAGAUGCUACUAAAUUCAAUACAACUCUGAUUGUAGGAAACCUUGGAGCGACUAUGAGCUUUUCUCAUUUCCCAAUCUUUUUUUUUGAAAGCAAUUAAAUUUCAUUAAAAUAAGGACAAUGCCCAAGUCACAUAGAAAAAAAUCUCAUUUCCUAAUCUAAUGUAACCAGGUUAGUGAUGUUGAGAAAAUCAGAGGAUGAACUCCACAUAUGUAAUAAUUCCAUAAUAAAUUUGCUUCAAAAAAAAAUCCAUAAUAAAUGUAACUCACCCACAAGGUUUGACACUCAAGGGAAAAUCAAUGCAAUCUCAGAAUCCAUUUAGGAAUAGUUAGGAUCCAUCAACAAAGAAGAGAAUGUAGGAGGAGGAAUUAAGAGAUGAAUUACCUGAGCUAAAAAAAUAUGUUGCAAUUUCAAUUUUUAAAGAAUACUCGUACAGUCGUACUAUAUGAUUAUUGAAUUAGUUUAGUUAUAAAAAUAAUAUUUGACGUAUUUUAUUAUGCUUUUUGUUUGUAGGUUGUAACAAACAAUAAAGCAUUAGGCUGUUUUUAUCUCUCCGAAAAUUUGAAUUUGAAAAAGAAUUAUGAUUUUUUGCAACCAACAGUUUAUAAAGCAUCUAAUGAGCCCCUCUCAUCUUAUGGUUUGUCAAAAUCUCUUAAUAACCAUGGUAAGUAAUUUAAAUUUGAUAUGUUAUUCUACCUAUUCUCUUGUAUUAUUUUGUAUACUUGUUUUUUAAACUGAAGUGAUGAGUUGUUACUCAUCAUGGAUAAGUUCUCAUUAAAGAUUGGAAAAUCCUAUCGAGAAUUAGAUGGCCCAAUUGAGGUUACGAGUGUACUAGGUAAUAGUUCAAGACUAUGUAGCAAGGGUCAGGAUGCGCCUCUGCGCGAUGCGCCACCACCUGAGCACUUGAGAUUUUGCACGCAAAAGCACACCUUUGCGCCAGUGGCAUUUUCGUAAAUAUAUAAAAAUAAGGAAAAUUCAUAUAUUUUUUAUAUACUUAAAAUAUAUCAAAAUACUUUAAGUAGUUUAAAACACAUAGAAUAGUUCAAACUUCAAAUACAAAAUACGAUUUAUAGGUCAUUGUGUGUCCUCUUUGUCUGUUUAUAGAACAAAGGAUGUAUACCUUGUGGUCAAGGUUGGGGUUCAGGUUCAGGUUCUGAUGCAUCACCCUCAUCUUCAUUCUCUUCGAGUUCUUCAACCUCAUGGUCUUCAUCACGAACUUGACUAGUAUAUGGUCUAGAAUGACCACUCCUAGUUGAUGGCCCUGGGUGUUCGGUUUUUAAAAUUUAAAAUUUUUUUAACCUUUUUCCCCUCCAAAUUAGUUCACCGGAAGCUCGCCGGAGGAUCGCUGGAGGAAGGCUUGGAGAAUGCCGCAAAAAUCGGGGGAAGAGCUGGUCGGAGUUGGGAGCAAUGUCUUCCAUUGGACAGCAUAUGCGCAGGUGCGACCCUAUUGGGAGAUGUGCUCGACGGAUCUCCCUUAUUUAAAUAACUUAAAACAGGGUUUGUUUUUAUUUAAAAAAAGGCCAAUUUUUAUUUUAUUUUAAGACCUUAUAAAUUUUUAUGCCAAAAAUUUAUACAUUGGUCCAUGAAAAGAGCUAUAUUAUUUUUAAUAUAAACUCCUCCCACUCUUAAGACUUCAUAUUUGUUUUAGACAAAAUGAAUCUUUAUUUAUAGACCAACCUUCUUUGUGUUUUUUGAAUUAUAUCGAUGUGGGGACUAAAAAAGUGCAGUUAAAUAAAUUAUUAUUAUAAAGUAUUUUUGAUGUUAUAGAUGUAUUAAAGAAGGCCCAACCCAUUACGUUAUUAUUUUUUAAAAGCCUCUUGGGUUAUUUAUUAUUUUCUUUUUAUAAAAGCCUCUCUUUUAGUCUUUUAUAAGUUUAAAGAAAUCUUAGCCGUUUAAAGAGCUAUAUUAUUAUGAAAAAUACCCCUAACCGGUUUUUAAACCUUGGUGUUACAAUGAAUUAUAGGGUAUUAUAAUAAUUAAUAAAUAUAUGUAUUAUAAUAAUUUUUCUAUCCAAUAUAUUUUCAACUAAAAAAUUUAAUUGAUAUAGUUUAGAUAUAUAAAAAAAUAUAUGAAUUUCCUUUAGUUUU
rnacentral:lncRNA from 1 species